rnacentral:rRNA from 1 species
AUUGAACGCUGGCGGCAUGCCUUACACAUGCAAGUCGAACGGCAGCACGGGGGCAACCCUGGUGGCGAGUGGCGAACGGGUGAGUAAUGCAUCGGAACGUGCCCAGUAGUGGGGGAUAACCAGUCGAAAGACUGGCUAAUACCGCAUACGACCUACGGGUGAAAGCGGGGGACCGUAAGGCCUCGCGCUAUUGGAGCGGCCGAUGUCUGAUUAGCUAGUUGGCGGGGUAAGAGCCCACCAAGGCGACGAUCAGUAGCUGGUCUGAGAGGACGACCAGCCACACUGGGACUGAGACACGGCCCAGACUCCUACGGGAGGCAGCAGUGGGGAAUUUUGGACAAUGGGCGCAAGCCUGAUCCAGCCAUGCCGCGUGCGGGAAGAAGGCCUUCGGGUUGUAAACCGCUUUUGGCAGGAACGAAACGGCGCAAGCCAAUACCUUGCGCUAAUGACGGUACCUGCAGAAUAAGCACCGGCUAACUACGUGCCAGCAGCCGCGGUAA